rnacentral:rRNA from 1 species
UACGGAGGGUGCAAGCGUUGUCCGGAUUUAUUGGGCUUAAAGGGCGCGUAGGCGGCUCUUUAAGUCAGUGGUGAAAUCCUACAGCUUAACUGUAGAACAGCCAUUGAUACUGAAGAGCUUGAGUACAGACGAGGUAGGCGGAAUUUAUGGUGUAGCGGUGAAAUGCAUAGAUACCAUAAAGAACUCCUAUUGCGAAGGCAGCUUACUAGGCCGUAACUGACGCUGAGGCACGAAAGCGUGGGGAUCAAACAGG